AGGUCACAGCUCGCUUGCACUCAGGUGGAAGGCCUCAGGGGACUGGAACUUUUGCUGAACCCCACAGCCGAGUUGAUAUGACCCCUUGAGGUCACUUAUGACUUAAGACUGCUGUCCUAAGUUUCAGAGGUUCAGUCCAUUAUCAUCAUGGUGGGAAGCAUGCCGUCAUGCAGGCAGACAUGGUGCUGGAGGAGCUGAGAGUUCUGCAUCUUGAUCCAAAGGCAGCUAAGAGGAGGCUGUCAUUCCAUGCUGGGUAUAGUCUGAGCUUUUAUAUGAGACCUCAAAGCCCAUUUUCACAGUGACAUACUUCCUUCAACAAGG
ensembl:lncRNA